GUUUUCAGGUCCACUCUCUUUCGUUGUCCAACACGAACUGAACUAAAAGACUGAAAACUUACCAAAAACCUUUCUCUUCUCAAAGCAAAACAUGUGCGUCAUCAAAUGUGUCUGGAGUUUACUGUGGGAAGGUGUGUGUGGGUGUGUGUGAAUGUUUGUGUGCUUGAGUGUGAAGGUCAGUACCAAACAUUCUCAACACUAUCUAAUUAUGGAUUCAUUAAGCCAUUAUAAUUACCCCAAAGCAUAAGAACCAUUCAUUUGAUUAAACACAUUUAUAAUGAGCAAAAUGAUAAUGGUUAUUCUAACAUUAAAAUCAAGAAAAAGAAGUUUAAACUUUAUGUUUUGACUUGGUCUGGGUACAACUCAUGUAAACACAUCUUCUGGUAGACUGCAGGUGGCUGAUGUUAUGGUUUCCUUCCAGACUCGCUGGCGUUCAGGACUUAAUCUGUGGGUGAAAGUUCUCAAUGACCCAGCUUUGACCUAGCUGCGUCCAGCACCACCUUUGUGAUAGAAAACCCAUAUUUCCUCACGUUACACUUGUUAGAAGUUUGUAUGCCAUCAGAUAAACUCGCUCUUUUUUUGGGGGGUGAGGCUUAUAUUGCAGUACGCUCGAGUCAGUAAUUUCCAGUAAGUAUUUUAAAGCCAUAUACUUAAUUAGUUCUUUGUAUGAAGUUUUCCUCUAGGUGAUCCAGAGAGGCUUGACCUUUGGGUGAGCAACCAAAGAAGAGAGUGCUGGACUCCCAAUUCAUUCUCCCGCUUGUGCAGUGAACACUUUGAGAGUCGUCACUUCACCACGGACUCCAGGGUGGAAAUGCUGUGUGAUUCCUGUGUCCUGUGGCCCAUGACCUGUGUCAGCCCGGUUCUGGAUGUGGCCUUGCUGAGUUCUCUGUAGCAAGGUUUUCUGGCGCUUGGGGCCAUUCCAGAGUGCACCUGGUCCUUUCUAACACUUCACAUCCCAGCACACGCACGAACACAUGCUUGUCGAUGUUUGUUGUUCAUGUUUGUGGUUCAUGCUUUACAUGUUUAUAGUUGUUCAUCCCAAGUUUUCUUGAUGACUCUUAGAAAUGUUUCUUCACAGGUGCUGGUUGCUGUUUUUAUUUUGGUUUGCUAGUUGUAUUAAUUUUUCUCUUUUUUACUUGUUUAUCCUCUAUCAGCAGUCUUUAUUCCAGAUUGGUUCAGCAUUUACAUACUGAUGUGGCGAUACAUAACCCAAACCAAUAUUACUCAAGGGGAACCUCGUACACAUUAAGGCUCCUCUUGAUAGAGCAAAUCUGUUCAGCACAUUCUGACAGACAGACCACCAUUCUUCUGUCAUGUUGCUGUACAGGACAUUUUUAGUUUU